rnacentral:rRNA from 1 species
GACGAACGCUGGCGGCGUGCUUAACACAUGCAAGUCGAACGGAAAGGCCCUGCUUUUGUGGGGUGCUCGAGUGGCGAACGGGUGAGUAACACGUGAGUAACCUGCCCUUGACUUUGGGAUAACUUCAGGAAACUGGGGCUAAUACCGGAUAGGAGCUCCUGCUGCAUGGUGGGGGUUGGAAAGUUUCGGCGGUUGGGGAUGGACUCGCGGCUUAUCAGCUUGUUGGUGGGGUAGUGGCUUACCAAGGCUUUGACGGGUAGCCGGCCUGAGAGGGUGACCGGCCACAUUGGGACUGAGAUACGGCCCAGACUACUAAGGGAGGCAGCAGUGGGGAAUAUUGCAAAAUGGGCGGAAGCCUGAUGCAGCAACGCCGCGUGCGGGAUGACGGCCUUCGGGUUGUAAACCGCUUUCGCCUGUGACGAAGCGUGAGUGACGGUAAUGGGUAAAGAAGCACCGGCUAACUACGUG